CCUACGGGAGGCAGCAGUAGGGAAUAUUGGACAAUGGGCGAAAGCCUGAUCCAGCAAUGCCGCGUGAGUGAUGAAGGCCUUAGGGUCGUAAAGCUCUUUUACCAGGGAUGAUAAUGACAGUACCUGGAGAAUAAGCUCCGGCUAACUCCGUGCCAGCAGCCGCGGUAAUACGGAGGGAGCUAGCGUUGUUCGGAAUUACUGGGCGUAAAGCGUACGUAGGCGGUUAUUCAAGUCAGAGGUGAAAGCCCGGGGCUCAACCCCGGAACUGCCUUUGAAACUAGGUAGCUAGAAUCUUGGAGAGGUCAGUGGAAUUCCGAGUGUAGAGGUGAAAUUCGUAGAUAUUCGGAAGAACACCAGUGGCGAAGGCGACUGACUGGACAAGUAUUGACGCUGAGGUACGAAAGCGUGGGGAGCAAACAGGAUUAGAUACCCUGGUAGUCCACGCCGUAAACGAUGAUAACUAGCUGUUCGGGCACUUGGUGCUUGAGUGGCGCAGCUACGCAUAAGUUAUCCGUCCGUCGGGGUAGGUACGGUCGGCGAAGAAGUUAAAACGUUAACGAAAGGAAAGUUAGUAACGGUCGUGAGAGUGCCGAACGGACGACGACGAGGGAGGAGG
rnacentral:rRNA from 1 species